rnacentral:rRNA from 1 species
UUGAUCCUGGCUCAGAAUCAACGCUGGCGGCGUGCCUAACACAUGCAAGUCGAACGAGAAAGUGGAGCAAUCCAUGAGUAAAGUGGCGACCGGGUGAGUUACACGUGACUAACCUACCUUCGAGUGGGGGAUAACCUCGGGAAACCGGGUCUAAUACCGCAUAAUGCCUUCGGGUUAAAGGAGCAAUUCGCUUGAAGAGUGGGUCGCGGCUGAUUAGCUAGUUGGCGGGGUAACGGCCCACCAAGGCGAUGAUCGGUAGCCGGCCUGAGAGGGCGCACGGCCACACUGGAACUGAAACAUGGUCCAGACUCCUACGGGAGGCAGCAGUGGGGAAUUUUGCGCAAUGGGGUAAACCCUGACGCAGCAACGCCGCGUGGAGGAUGAGGUCCCUUGGGACGUUAACUCCUUUCGACCGGGACGAUUAUGACGGUACCGGUGGAAGAAGCCCCUGCUAACUUCGUGCCAGCAGCCGCGGUAAUU